AUCGAACGCUGGCGGCAGGCCUAACACAUGCAAGUCGAGCGGUUGAAGGGAGCUUGCUCCCGGAUUCAGAGGCGAACGGGUGAGUAAUUCCUAGGAAUCUGCCUGGUAGUGGGGGAUAACGUCCGGAAACGGGAGCUAAUAUCGCAUACCUCCUGAGCGAUAAAGAUGGGGAUUUUCGUACAUCACGCUAUCAGAAUCACCUAGGUCGGAUUAGGUGGUUGGUGGGGUAAAGGCCUACCAAGGGGACGACCCGUAACUGGUCUGAGAGGAUGAUCAGUAACACUGGAACUGAGACACGGUCCAGACUCCAACGGAAGGCAGAGGUGGGGAAUAUUGGACAAUGGGCGAAAGCCUGCUCCAGCCAGGCCGCGUAUGUGAGGAAGGUCUUCGGAUGGUAAAGUACGUUAAGUUGGGAGGAAGGGCAGUAAGUUAGUACCUUGCUGUUUUGACGUUACCAACAGAAUAAGCACCGGCUAACUUCGUG
rnacentral:rRNA from 1 species